GGCAAGGGGGUCAUCCCGACUUACCAACCCGAUGCAAACUGCGAAUACCGGAGAAUGUUAUCACGGGAGACACACGGCGGGUGCUAACGUCCGUCGUGAAGAGGGAAACAACCCAGACCGCCAGCUAAGGUCCCAAAGUCAUGGUUAAGUGGGAAACGAUGUGGGAAGGCCCAGACAGCCAGGAUGUUGGCUUAGAAGCAGCCAUCAUUUAAAGAAAGCGUAAUAGCUCACUGGUCGAGUCGGCCUGCGCGGAAGAUGUAACGGGGCUAAACCAUGCACCGAAGCUGCGGCAGCGACGCUGAUGCGUUGUUGGGUAGGGGAGCGUUCUGUAAGCCUGUGAAGGUGUGCUGUGAGGUAUGCUGGAGGUAUCAGAAGUGCGAAUGCUGACAUAAGUAACGAUAAAGCGGGUGAAAAGCCCGCUCGCCGGAAGACCAAGGGUUCCUGUCCAACGUUAAUCGGGGCAGGGUGAGUCGACCCCUAAGGCGAGGCCGAAAGGCGUAGUCGAUGGGAAACAGGUUAAUAUUCCUGUACUUGGUGUUACUGCGAAGGGGGGACGGAGAAGGCUAUGUUGGCCGGGCGACGGUUGUCCCGGUUUAAGCGUGUAGGCUGGUUUUCCAGGCAAAUCCGGAAAACUAAGGCUGAGGCGUGAUGACGAGGCACUACGGUGCUGAAGCAACAAAUGCCCUGCUUCCAGGAAAAGCCUCUAAGCAUCAGGUAACAUCAAAUCGUACCCCAAACCGACACAGGUGGUCAGGUAGAGAAUACCAAGGCGCUUGAGAGAACUCGGGUGAAGGAACUAGGCAAAAUGGUGCCGUAACUUCGGGAGAAGGCACGCUGAUAUGUAGGUGAAGUCCCUCGCGGAUGGAGCUGAAAUCAGUCGAAGAUACCAGCUGGCUGCAACUGUUUAUUAAAAACACAGCACUGUGCAAACACGAAAGUGGACGUAUACGGUGUGACGCCUGCCCGGUGCCGGAAGGUUAAUUGAUGGGGUCAGCGCAAGCGAAGCUCUUGAUCGAAGCCCCGGUAAACGGCGGCCGUAACUAUAACGGUCCUAAGGUAGCGAAAUUCCUUGUCGGGUAAGUUCCGACCUGCACGAAUGGCGUAAUGAUGGCCAGGCUGUCUCCACCCGAGACUCAGUGAAAUUGAACUCGCUGUGAAGAUGCAGUGUACCCGCGGCAAGACGGAAAGACCCCGUGAACCUUUACUAUAGCUUGACACUGAACAUUGAGCCUUGAUGUGUAGGAUAGGUGGGAGGCUUUGAAGUGUGGACGCCAGUCUGCAUGGAGCCGACCUUGAAAUACCACCCUUUAAUGUUUGAUGUUCUAACGUUGACCCGUAAUCCGGGUUGCGGACAGUGUCUGGUGGGUAGUUUGACUGGGGCGGUCUCCUCCUAAAGAGUAACGGAGGAGCACGAAGGUUGGCUAAUCCUGGUCGGACAUCAGGAGGUUAGUGCAAUGGCAUAAGCCAGCUUGACUGCGAGCGUGACGGCGCGAGCAGGUGCGAAAGCAGGUCAUAGUGAUCCGGUGGUUCUGAAUGGAAGGGCCAUCGCUCAACGGAUAAAAGGUACUCCGGGGAUAACAGGCUGAUACCGCCCAAGAGUUCAUAUCGACGGCGGUGUUUGGCACCUCGAUGUCGGCUCAUCACAUCCUGGGGCUGAAGUAGGUCCCAAGGGUAUGGCUGUUCGCCAUUUAAAGUGGUACGCGAGCUGGGUUUAGAACGUCGUGAGACAGUUCGGUCCCUAUCUGCCGUGGGCGCUGGAGAACUGAGGGGGGCUGCUCCUAGUACGAGAGGACCGGAGUGGACGCAUCACUGGUGUUCGGGUUGUCAUGCCAAUGGCACUGCCCGGUAGCUAAAUGCGGAAGAGAUAAGUGCUGAAAGCAUCUAAGCACGAAACUUGCCCCGAGAUGAGUUCUCCCUGACUCCUUGAGAGUCCUGAAGGAACGUUGAAGACGACGACGUUGAUAGGCCGGGUGUGUAAGCGCAGCGAUGCGUUGAGCUAACCGGUACUAAUGAACCGUGAGGCUUAACCUUACAACGCCGAAGGUGUUU
rnacentral:rRNA from 1 species